CAGGGCUGCAGGCACAAGAACUCCCCUUGCUCAGCCUGGGCCCAACACAGCUGAAGGGCUGACAGGUCAAAGGGCAGGGGACCCCAGGAAUCAGAGCGCAGGGUGGCAUCAGAGAGGAGAGCCCCAGUACAAUGUUUUCCUUGGUGUGCGUGGACCACCGAGUUUCUCCCUCGCCACUGAGGAGCAUCUGCAUUGUUACCAGGCGAUGAAGCACUGGGGCUGGGGAUAUUGCUCAGUGGCAUAAGCACCUGCCUGGCAAGCGCAAGGUUGUGAGCUCGAUCCCCGGUACUGAAAAAAAAAAAAAAAAGAACCAGGCGAUGAAGCAUAAAGCUGCAGUAAGCCC
rnacentral:lncRNA from 1 species